GACGAACGCUGGCGGCGUGCUUAACACAUGCAAGUCGAACGGUGAAGCGCCUUCCUUUUUGGUGGGUGUGGAUGAGUGGCGAACGGGUGAGUAACACGUGAGUAACCUGCCCCCUUCUUCUGGAUAACCGCAUGAAAGUGUGGCUAAUACGGGAUAUUCUGGGUCUGUCGCAUGAUGGGUCUGGGAAAGAUAUUGUUUCGGUGGGGGAUGGGCUCGCGGCCUAUCAGCUUGUUGGUGGGGUGAUGGCCUACCAAGGCGGUGACGGGUAGCCGGCCUGAGAGGGUGGACGGUCACACUGGGACUGAGACACGGCCCAGACUCCUACGGGAGGCAGCAGUGGGGAAUAUUGCACAAUGUGCGCAAGCCUGAUGCAGCGACGCCGCGUGAGGGAUGGAGGCCUUCGGGUUGUGAACCUCUUUCGCCAGUGAAGCAGGCCUGCCUCGUUUGUGGGUGGGUUGACGGUAGCUGGAUAAGAGGCGCCGGCUGACUACGUG
rnacentral:rRNA from 1 species